rnacentral:lncRNA from 1 species
UCGACCAAAUAGUUAAGAAUAAAAGUAUUAAUGAAUGAAAAUAACUAAAAGUAAAAGUUCUUAUGAAUAAAAAUAAAUAUUAUUGUAAAAAAAUAUAAAUUUUCAAACCGUCUGUAUCGUAUGCCGGUUGAACGUGCAGGAGAAUUUGCGUUAAACUAGAUAGAACUAAAGAAGGAAGUAGGACUGGGAGGUAUGGGAAUCUCCACAGUCCCCUCCAGCAUGAGCAAAACUUUCUUCAUAGUCGGACGCAGCGACGGCUCAUACUGCACACACCAUAGCCCUAUCUUCACCAUCCUCUCCACUUUCCUCUUCUCCACCACCUCAAUCUCAUCCCCCACGACCUCCCCGAUCCUCCCCGCCGCGUAGC